UUGAACGCUGGCGGCAGGCCUAACACAUGCAAGUCGAGCGGUAGCACAGAGAGCUUGCUCUCGGGUGACGAGCGGCGGACGGGUGAGUAAUGUCUGGGAAACUGCCUGAUGGAGGGGGAUAACUACUGGAAACGGUGGCUAAUACCGCAUAAUGUCGCAAGACCAAAGUGGGGGACCUUCGGGCCUCAUGCCAUCAGAUGUGCCCAGAUGGGAUUAGCUAGUAGGUGGGGUAACGGCUCACCUAGGCGACGAUCCCUAGCUGGUCUGAGAGGAUGACCAGCCACACUGGAACUGAGACACGGUCCAGACUCCUACGGGAGGCAGCAGUGGGGAAUAUUGCACAAUGGGCGCAAGCCUGAUGCAGCCAUGCCGCGUGUGUGAAGAAGGCCUUCGGGUUGUAAAGCACUUUCAGCGGGGAGGAAGGCGUUAAGGUUAAUAACCUUGGCGAUUGACGUUACCCGCAGAAGAAGCACCGGCUAACUCCGUGCCAGCAGCCGCGGUAAUACGGAGGGUGCAAGCGUUAAUCGGAAUUACUGGGCGUAAAGCGCACGCAGGCGGUCUGUCAAGUCGGAUGUGAAAUCCCCGGGCUCAACCUGGGAACUGCAUUCGAAACUGGCAGGCUAGAGUCUUGUAGAGGGGGGUAGAAUUCCAGGUGUAGCGGUGAAAUGCGUAGAGAUCUGGAGGAAUACCGGUGGCGAAGGCGGCCCCCUGGACAAAGACUGACGCUCAGGUGCGAAAGCGUGGGGAGCAAACAGGAUUAGAUACCCUGGUAGUCCACGCCGUAAACGAUGUCGAUUUGGAGGUUGUGCCCUUGAGGCGUGGCUUCCGGAGCUAACGCGUUAAAUCGACCGCCUGGGGAGUACGGCCGCAAGGUUAAAACGCAAUUGAUUUUACGGGGGCACGCACAAGCGACGCACCCUGUGGUUUAAUUCGAUGCAACGCGAAGAACCUUACCUGGUCUUGACAUCCACAGAACUUUCCAGAGAUGGAUUGGUGCCUUCGGGAACUGUGAGACAGGUGCUGCAUGGCUGUCGUCAGCUCGUGUUGUGAAAUGUUGGGUUAAGUCCCGCAACGAGCGCAACCCUUAUCCUUUGUUGCCAGCGGUCCGGCCGGGAACUCAAAGGAGACUGCCAGUGAUAAACUGGAGGAAGGUGGGGAUGACGUCAAGUCAUCAUGGCCCUUACGACCAGGGCUACACACGUGCUACAAUGGCAUAUACAAAGAGAAGCGACCUCGCGAGAGCAAGCGGACCUCAUAAAGUAUGUCGUAGUCCGGAUUGGAGUCUGCAACUCGACUCCAUGAAGUCGGAAUCGCUAGUAAUCGUAGAUCAGAAUGCUACGGUGAAUACGUUCCCGGGCCUUGUACACACCGCCCGUCACACCAUGGGAGUGGGUUGCAAAAGAAGUAGGUAGCUUAACCUUCGGGAGGGCGCUUACCACUUUGUGAUUCAUGACUGGGGUG
rnacentral:rRNA from 1 species